AUUGAACGCUGGCGGCAGGCCUAACACAUGCAAGUCGAACGAGCGGCGGACGGGUGAGUAAUGUAUGGGGAUCUGCCCGAUAGAGGGGGAUAACUACUGGAAACGGUGGCUAAUACCGCAUACUAUCGGAUGAACCCAUAUUGGAUUAGCUAGUAGGUGGGGUAACGGCUCACCUAGGCGAGGAUCCCUAGCUGGUCUGAGAGGAGGACCAGCCACACUGGGACUGAGCCACGGCCCAGACUCCUACGGGAGGCAGCAGUGGGGAAUAUUGCACAAUGGGCGCAAGCCUGAUGCAGCCAUGCCGCUUGUAUGAAGAAGGCCUUAGGGUUGUAAAGUACUUUCAGCGGGGAGGCGUUACCCGCAGAAGAAGCACCGGCUAACUCCGUGCCAGCAGCCGCGGUAAUAC
rnacentral:rRNA from 1 species